AUCGCGACAGCGGGAGAGUCCGGUCCGCGUCAAGCGGUGCCGGCGCCGAAGGAGCAACUGCCCCGGAAACUCUCAGGCCACCGGACCGCUGUCGCGUC
rnacentral:ncRNA from 2 species